rnacentral:rRNA from 1 species
GACGAACGCUGGCGGCGUGCUUAACACAUGCAAGUCGAACGGUAAGGCUCCAGCUUGCUGGGGUACACGAGUGGCGAACGGGUGAGUAACACGUGGGUGACCUGCCCUGCACUUCGGGAUAAGCCUGGGAAACUGGGUCUAAUACCGGAUAGGACCGCACCGUGAGGGUGUGGUGGAAAGUUUUUUCGGUGUGGGAUGGGCCCGCGGCCUAUCAGCUUGUUGGUGGGGUAAUGGCCUACCAAGGCGGCGACGGGUAGCCGGCCUGAGAGGGUGGACGGCCACAUUGGGACUGAGACACGGCCCAGACUCCUACGGGAGGCAGCAGUGGGGAAUAUUGCACAAUGGGCGGAAGCCUGAUGCAGCGACGCCGCGUGGGGGAUGACGGCCUUCGGGUUGUAAACUCCUUUCACCAUCGACGAAGGGUUUCUGACGGUAGAUGGAGAAGAAGCACCGGCUAACUACGUGCCAGCAGCCGCGGUAAUACGUAGGGUGCGAGCGUUGUCCGGAAUUACUGGGCGUAAAGAGCUCGUAGGUGGUUUGUCGCGUCGUCCGUGAAAUUCCGGGGCUUAACUCCGGGCGUGCAGGCGAUACGGGCAUAACUUGAGUACUGUAGGGGAGACUGGAAUUCCUGGUGUAGCGGUGAAAUGCGCAGAUAUCAGGAGGAACACCGGUGGCGAAGGCGGGUCUCUGGGCAGUAACUGACGCUGAGGAGCGAAAGCAUGGGGAGCGAACAGGAUUAGAUACCCUGGUAGUCCAUGCCGUAAACGGUGGGCGCUAGGUGUGGGUUUCCUUCCACGGGAUCCGUGCCGUAGCUAACGCAUUAAGCGCCCCGCCUGGGGAGUACGGCCGCAAGGCUAAAACUCAAAGGAAUUGACGGGGGCCCGCACAAGCGGCGGAGCAUGUGGAUUAAUUCGAUGCAACGCGAAGAACCUUACCUGGGCUUGACAUAUACAGGAUCGCGCCAGAGAUGGUGUUUCCCUUGUGGCUUGUAUACAGGUGGUGCAUGGUUGUCGUCAGCUCGUGUCGUGAGAUGUUGGGUUAAGUCCCGCAACGAGCGCAACCCUUGUCUUAUGUUGCCAGCACGUUGUGGUGGGGACUCGUAAGAAACUGCCGGGGUUAACUCGGAGGAAGGUGGGGAUGACGUCAAAUCAUCAUGCCCCUUAUGUCCAGGGCUUCACACAUGCUACAAUGGUCGGUACAGUGGGUUGCCAGUCCGUGAGGGCGAGCUAAUCCCGCAAAGCCGGUCUCAGUUCGGAUCGGGGUCUGCAACUCGACCCCGUGAAGUCGGAGUCGCUAGUAAUCGCAGAUCAGCAACGCUGCGGUGAAUACGUUCCCGGGCCU